GGGGAAUAUUGGACAAUGGGGGGAACCCUGAUCCAGCCAUGCCGCGUGUGUGAAGAAGGCCUUUUGGUUGUAAAGCACUUUAAGCGAGGAGGAGGCUCCCAGUAUUAAUACUACUGGAGAGUGGACGUUACUCGCAGAAUAAGCACCGGCUAACUCUGUGCCAGCAGCCGCGGUAAUACAGAGGGUGCAAGCGUUAAUCGGAUUUACUGGGCGUAAAGCGUGCGUAGGUGGCCAAUUAAGUCAAAUGUGAAAUCCCCGAGCUUAACUUGGGAAUUGCAUUCGAUACUGGUUGGCUAGAGUAUGGGAGAGGAUGGUAGAAUUCCAGGUGUAGCGGUGAAAUGCGUAGAGAUCUGGAGGAAUACCGAUGGCGAAGGCAGCCAUCUGGCCUAAUACUGACACUGAGGUACGAAAGCAUGGGGAGCAAAC
rnacentral:rRNA from 1 species